AUCCCAGGCUGUGAACACUGCUGGGCUAUUAUUACCUGGGGACAAGUCUGCCUUCCCACUGGAUCUGGGAGGGCAGGCUGGGUUCUGUUCACCCUCUCUGCCUUCUCCUCUGAGCUAACAACAUCUGCUAGGACCUGGGUUCAAAUCCAGAUGCCCCUAUCUUUGGAGCUCCUUAGGUGCUGUUCUAGGCGCUGAGGAUGCAGCCGUGCACAAGACGGAUGAAAUCCCUGCCCUCAGGGGGCCGACAUUUGCGGAGUAAAUAAAGGAAAGCAGGAUCAGAAAAACCAGGAUUCCCAGAACCAGGAAGAUGAUGGCGUUACGGGACAUGCCUGAGUGCUCACUGGGAGGUCCCUCUGAAAGAGAAGGAAACAGGUAUUUAGAAUGUGAGCCUGUCCCUGCCGAGGGCCAUCUUGCUUCAGAGCCUGCCUGAGAAUAAAGCCAGUAUAACGAAAAGCAGAGACAAGAGAUGUAUAA
rnacentral:lncRNA from 10 species